UGGCGGACGGGUGAGUAAUGUCUGGGAAACUGCCUGAUGGAGGGGGAUAACUACUGGAAACGGUAGCUAAUACCGCAUAACGUCGCAAGACCAAAGAGGGGGACCUUCGGGCCUCUUGCCAUCGGAUGUGCCCAGAUGGGAUUAGCUAGUAGGUGGGGUAACGGCUCACCUAGGCGACGAUCCCUAGCUGGUCUGAGAGGAUGACCAGCCACACUGGAACUGAGACACGGUCCAGACUCCUACGGGAGGCAGCAGUGGGGAAUAUUGCACAAUGGGCGCAAGCCUGAUGCAGCCAUGCCGCGUGUAUGAAGAAGGCCUUCGGGUUGUAAAGUACUUUCAGCGGGGAGGAAGGGAGUAAAGUUAAUACCUUUGCUCAUUGACGUUACCCGCAGAAGAAGCACCGGCUAACUCCGUGCCAGCAGCCGCGGUAAUACGGAGGGUGCAAGCGUUAAUCGGAAUUACUGGGCGUAAAGCGCACGCAGGCGGUUUGUUAAGUCAGAUGUGAAAUCCCCGGGCUCAACCCUGGGAACUGCAUCUGAUACUGGCAAGCUUGAGUCUCGUAGAGGGGGGUAGAAAUUCCAGGUGUAGCGGUGAAAUGCGUAGAGAUUCUGGAGGAAUACCGGUGGCGAAGGCAGGCCUCCUGGACGAAGACUGACGCUCAGGUGCGAAAGCUGUGGGGACGCAAACAGGAUUAGAUACCCUGGUAGUCCACGCCGUAAACGAUGUCGACUUGGAGGUUGUGCCCUUGAGGCGUGGCUUCCGGA
rnacentral:rRNA from 1 species